UACGUAGGGAGCAAGCGUUGUCCGGAAUCAUUGGGCGUAAAGCGCGCGUAGGUGGCCCAGUAAGUCCGCUCUGAAAGUCAAAGGCUCAACCUUUGAAAGCGGGUGGAUACUGCUGGGCUAGAGUCCGGAAGAGGCGAGUGGAAUUCCUGGUGUAGCGGUGAAAUGCGCAGAUAUCAGGAGGAACACCAAUGGCGAAGGCAGCUCGCUGGGACGUGACUGACGCUGAGACGCGAAAGCGUGGGGAGCAAACAGG
rnacentral:rRNA from 1 species